AGGACGAACGCUGGCGGCGUGCUUAACACAUGCAAGUCGAGCGGAAAGGCCCUUCGGGGUACUCGAGCGGCGAACGGGUGAGUAACACGUGAGCAAUCUGCCCUUAGCUUCGGGAUAGCCCCGGGAAACCGGGAUUAAUACCGAAUAUGACCUUGGCCGACAUCGGCCUUGGUGGAAAGUUUUUCGGCUAGGGAUGAACUCGUGGCCUAUCAGCUUGUUGGUGGGGUAAUGGCCUACCAAGGCGACGACGGGUAGCCGGCCUGAGAGGGCGACCGGCCACACUGGGACUGAGACACGGCCCAGACUCCUACGGGAGGCAGCAGUGGGGAAUAUUGCGCAAUGGGCGAAAGCCUGACGCAGCGACGCCGCGUGGGGGAUGAAGGCCUUCGGGUUGUAAACCCCUUUCAGCAGGGACGAAGCGAGAGUGACGGUACCUGCAGAAGAAGCGCCGGCUAACUACGCGCCAGCAGCCGC
rnacentral:rRNA from 1 species